GACGAACGCUGGCGGCGUGCUUAACACAUGCAAGUCGAGCGGAAAGGCCCUUCGGGGUACGUCGAGCGGCGAACGGGUGAGUAACACGUGAGUAACCUGCCCUUGGCUCUGGGAUAAGCCCGGGAAACUGGGUCUAAUACCGGAUAUGACCAUCAGAUGCAUGUCUUGGUGGUGGAAAGAUUUUUCGGCUGGGGAUGGGCUCGCGGUCUAUCAGCUUGUUGGUGGGGUGAUGGCCUACCAAGGCGACGACGGGUAGCCGCCUGAGAGGGUGACCGGCCACACUGGGACUGAGACACGGCCCAGACUCCUACGGGA
rnacentral:rRNA from 1 species